rnacentral:rRNA from 1 species
AGUCGAACGGAAACAUGUCUAGCUUGCUAGAUGAUGUCGAGUGGCGGACGGGUGAGUAAUGCUUGGGAACUUGCCUUUGCGAGGGGGAUAACAGUUGGAAACGACUGCUAAUACCGCAUAAUGUCUACGGACCAAACGGGGCUUCGGCUCUGGCGCAAAGAGAGGCCCAAGUGAGAUUAGCUAGUUGGUGAGGUAAAGGCUCACCAAGGCAACGAUCUCUAGCUGUUCUGAGAGGAAGAUCAGCCACACUGGGACUGAGACACGGCCCAGACUCCUACGGGAGGCAGCAGUGGGGAAUAUUGCACAAUGGGGGAAACCCUGAUGCAGCCAUGCCGCGUGUGUGAAGAAGGCCUUCGGGUUGUAAAGCACUUUCAGUUGUGAGGAAAAGUUAGUAGUUAAUACCUGCUAGCCGUGACGUUAACAACAGAAGAAGCACCGGCUAACUCCGUGCCAGCAGCCGCGGUAAUACGGAGGGUGCGAGCGUUAAUCGGAAUUACUGGGCGUAAAGCGCACGCAGGCGGUUUGUUAAGCUAGAUGUGAAAGCCCCGGGCUCAACCUGGGACGGUCAUUUAGAACUGGCAGACUAGAGUCUUGGAGAGGGGAGUGGAAUUCCAGGUGUAGCGGUGAAAUGCGUAGAUAUCUGGAGGAACAUCAGUGGCGAAGGCGACUCCCUGGCC